rnacentral:misc_RNA from 1 species
GAAAUGCGAUAAGUAAUGUGAAUUGCAGAAUUCAGUGAAUCAUUGAAUCUUUGAACGCACCUUGCGCUCCUUGGUAUUCCUUGGAGCAUGCCUGUUUGAGUAUCAUGAAAUCUUCAAAGUAAAUCUUUUGUUAACUCAAUUGGUUUCUACUUUGGUAUUGGAGGUCUUUGCAGCUUCACACCUGCUCCUCUUUGUUCAUUAGCUGGAUCUCAGUGUUAUGCUUGGUUCGACUCGGCGUGAUAAGUUAUCUAUCGCUGAGGACACUGUAAAAGGUGGCCAAGGUAAAUGCAGAUGAACCGCUUCUAAUAGUCCAUUGACUUGGACAAUACUUUUAUGAUCUGAUCUCAAAUCAGGUAGGACUACCCGCUGAACUUAAGC